rnacentral:sRNA from 1 species
UGCUAAUUGGUCCGGCUCCGGACCUCGGAGAACGCCUAUUGGUGAGUUGGUCCAGGGACGCGCCUACGCGAAGGCGCUUUGGGAAGACCAAGCCAAGAGGGACGUGGCGCUCUCCGACACGGGAAACCCCAGCUGAUUAUUGCCUUCAUGGGAUAUCGCUCAUCUUGAACUAGGCAAUUUGAUUCUUUAAUUUCCAAGGAAACCUCAACUCAGCUAAGAAACUCAAAAUGAGUUUGCUGGAGGGCAGGCAAGAAGUAAAGAAAAACAUCUGGACAAACCAGCAACUGAUUCAACUUGGCAGCAACUGUUCAGUUGGUUACAAAGGCAAGCUCUUUGUGUUCAGAAGAUGGACGAAGACAGUAGAGACUGUCUACUACUCCAGACACACUAAGUACUCAAAAACUAAAAAGAAAGAAAGGAAAGACCCAACUCAACAGCAAACUCUGUGGGAGCCAAGACUUAGAAUAAGGUCUCUUCACAGAUCAGCCUCCUGUGGCGAUUGGACCCCAUCACCCCACUGCCUGGUUUUGUAGAUAGUUUUGUUGGCAUACAGCCAUAUUUACCAAGUAAACACAUUACAUAUAUAGUAUCUUUACAUAGUGCCUCUGACUACCAUGGUAUUGCAAUGGCAGAUCUGAGUAGAUAUUAAAAUUUUUUUCAGCUCUCAAGACACAAAUUAUGAGCCAGGUGCAGUGGCACACAUAUACCUGUAAUUCCAGCUAUUCAGGAGGCUGAGACAGGAGGAUUGCAAGUUUGAGACCUGCCUGGAAUUAAGCAAGAUGAUCUCAGAAUACAGUGUGAGAGUACUGGGCAUAUAUCUCAGUGGGAGAGUGCUUUCGAGGCAUGUUCAGCAGCCAGGAUCAUAGAAAAAGAAAAUUAUUACUACUUGGCCUUUACAGAAAAUAAAUGAGUAAAUCAAGGUCUUUAUAAUUCAUGCAAAAUCCUAUUGUCAGUAUCCUUUGUGAAAAGAAAAUGCUUUACCCUUAUCAAGUUCUCUAAUCCAUUACUAAUCAGUCUCCCAUGAA